rnacentral:tRNA from 1 species
GAGGGUAUAGCUCAGUUGUAGAAUGUAUGCUUAGCAAAGCAUGAGGUCCUGGGUUUAAUCCCCAGUACCUACA